rnacentral:rRNA from 1 species
UAAGGAAUAUUGGUCAAUGGACGAAACCCUGAUCCAGCCAUGCCGCGUGCAGGAUGAAGGCCUUCGGGUUGUAAACUGCUUUUGUACGGAACGAAAAGGUCCUUUCUAAUAAAGAGGGCUCAUGACGGUACCGUAAGAAUAAGCACCGGCUAACUACGUGCCAGCAGCCGCGGUAAUACGUAGGGUGCGAGCGUUAAUCGGAAUUACUGGGCGUAAAGCGUGCGCAGGCGGUUAUAUAAGACAGAUGUGAAAUCCCCGGGCUCAACCUGGGACCUGCAUUUGUGACUGUAUAGCUGGAGUACGGUAGAAGGGGAUGGAAUUCCGCGUGUAGCAGUGAAAUGCGUAGAUAUGCGGAGGAACACCGAUGGCGAAGGCAAUCCCCUGGACCUGUACUGACGCUCAUGCACGAAAGCGUGGGGAGCAAACA